UAAUUUUAAAAAAUUUUAUAAAAAAGAAACUUUAUUUUAAACUUUAUUUAAAAAUAAACUUUAUUUAAAAUCUAGGUUUUUUGCUUCGUAACUAAGCAAAUAGUUAUUGGAAAAAUAAACGAAGAGAAGUCGUUAAUCGACAAUUGGGAAUUCCACCAAUAAUCGGGUAAAUUCAGCAAAUCGGACUUAGACGCAACGGAAACUUGUAUCAAAAGAAUUCGAUGGAAAUGUUUUUCUUUCAGCAGGAGUCCUAAUAAGAGUUACAUUUAACUUUUAUGGAAUAAAGAUACCUCAUAAUCCAUAGCAAACC